CAUAAACUGUUCAGUAGUUGGUGAGCACAAGAGGACGUCGGCACACAGAUUUUUGUCGGCGUUCUAAGUUUUUAGUUUAUUGUUACCUGUAAAUUAGAUAAUUAUCACUAAUACCAGCCGACUGGACUGGAGACAAACUGCCAAAACAUGCGAAACACGACAGUGAUGAUGGACGGUGUCUGGUGGAGACAAGCUGAGCCGGCCGUUGAAUCUACUGCAGACCGUGAGCUGCCUGCUGAUUUACACACACUGGCAGCGAAGCACAGAGGCCUCAAGAGACGAUGCCCUCUACCCCUCAAUUUUUUCCCCCUUUGUUUUUUCAUCCGCCUAUUGUCCUCUCAUUGCCACCACCAGGCGUCUUUACUGUCACUGACCAAAGAGCUCCACCUCUACCUGACUCGUCAUCUCUAAUAAGACAGUAGUCUGGAGGUCUUGUUAGUCACACAUGAUCUUGUGACACACAGAGGGGCUGUUCCCAUGUGCGAAGACACACAGUCUAAUAAGGAUGAGCAAAAUACAUCAUAGACACUAAAGGUGUCUUACAAUUCUCACAUUUUUAUGAUUUCUUUCACUCUUGUAUGAGCUCAUUUGUAACCUUUAGGGUCCUGCGUGUACAGUAUGCAUAUGAAGAUAUCUAUUUGAG